UACGGGGGGAGCAAGCGUUGUUCGGAUUUACUGGGCGUAAAGGGCGCGUAGGCGGCCAGUGCAAGUCAGUUGUGAAAUCUCCGAGCUUAACUCGGAAAGGUCAACUGAUACUGCUCGGCUAGAGUGCGGAAGGGGCAACUGGAAUUCUUGGUGUAGCGGUGAAAUGCGUAGAUAUCGAGAGGAACACCUGCGGCGAAGGCGGGUUGCUGGGCCGACACUGACGCUGAAGCGCGAAAGCUAGGGGAGCGAACGGG
rnacentral:rRNA from 1 species